UAGAAAAACUGUAUGAAGAACUGAAGGUGAAGCAUCAGCAGAUUCAAGAAGAAGAAAUGAAUUCAGCUUGCUAGUUUGAACUGAGGCUGAACCCGAGAUGCUUAUCCUGAGAUCACACUAGAGCUGAAAAACUCAGGUACUGUAUGUGCUUGUUUGGUGAUUAAAUACUGAUACUGAGAACUAAUGAGGUUAGUGAAUGACAACAAAAAAUUCAAUUGAAUCUACAAAAAUGGCAAAAUAGAUACUGUAGUAGUUAAAAAUGUCCUUCUCCAACAGGCAGAAAUCUGAACAAGUGCUGUAAAUGAUGAGCACCAUGUAAAUGCUCAUAAUCACACACAGAGAGGACGAUGUUUAUGUAAAUACACAGGACGGAAAACGCUACUACUUCUUUCUUUUAUCAUUAUACUUGUAUUAAUGUGGGAGAACCUGCCAGAAGGACAGUCAUCAGUUCUCCAACAACAAGAGCUGUUUAAUUUCUUUCUUCCUUAUGAUAUCUUCAUAAUCGGACCAUGGAAGUCAGACACAUAAAAGGUUUCCAGAAAAAAAAAGUCUUGGUAUAUUGUAAAACAGGCAAAUGUAUGUACACAACUGUACAAUGGUGUGACUUCAAAAUGGUCCAAGGCUGAAAUAGUACAUUUUUAAAAAGAUUCACCUACAACAUUUCCUGGAGACAUUAAGCAUAUAUGAAACAUGACACACGGGUUAGGAAAACGGGGAAAAAGUUAAUUAUCCAACAGGUAGACAUCUGAAACUGUUAUAUUUUUAAAUAAAUAUUUUAGAUGUUGAAAAUAUAUAUGAUCAGGCAUCAUAAAUUAUAAGGAUUAUUAAUUGUUAGGAUCACAAACAGUGGAUGAUGACAAUGUGAACACACACAGCCACAUCUGAAUACUAAACAACGCACAGGUAUGUGUUUCUACUCAUUAUACUGAUUAUCCAACUUCUACUUGUAUUAUUUAUUAACUAAAACAUGUUUAAUAUUUAGCUUCAUCUAGUUACAACAACAUCAUGUCUGCUCUUGGUCUUCUGCUGCUUGGAGCUUUAGCAUCACUCUGUGCUGUAGGGAUCUUGUAUCACAAUAAAGUUGUUUCCACUGAGAUGUUAAGUGAAGGACACGAGAACACUACAGCCGAACUGAUGGGGCUAAAACACAAAGCCACAAAGCCA